UAAGUUCACCUGGGAUCACUGUCCCUGAUGCUUUUCUUGGGUGUUUAAAAGGUACUAUUAGCAGCACAUAUACAGCCAUAAUUCUAAUUGUCUCCUUUCUUUCCCCUUUGCUCCUAUCCUCGUGCCUCCCCUGUGCUCACAGACCAUCAAACAUCAUUUUUGCCAGUUUCAAAUCGAGCUCUUGAGGGAGCAGAAGCUGCGGGAAGCUGCUCGUAAGAAACACACGCACAAACAAACUCCUGCAGCUAAAGAAAAGGAGGAUGGAGCCACUGCAGCAGCAGAAGAGGGAGCCCUUGCCUCACAGGGGAAAGAAGAAGGAGCAAAAGAAAAAGAAGAGGAGGAAGAAGCAGCUCCCGGAAAAGAACAGCAAGAGGAGCAACAGGAGAAGAUGGAGGAGCAAUCUCCUGCAGUGAAAGAACAGGUAGGAAUGAAGAGGAAAAGGAAUGAAGAGGAAGCUCCAGCAGCGGAGAAUAAAGAAGAGGGAGUGGAUGGAGAAGAAAAAGCUCCUCCAAGGAAGCGGCCAAGGAAGGACUACAGAGGAUUUAGUGUUCCACCAGAAGACUCUUCAGACAGUUCUGCUGCCACCAACGCAACCCUGCUCCUUGCAUGCCUUCUGUGGCUGUUUAUGCAUAUCUGUGUGUUUGUGUGUG